rnacentral:rRNA from 1 species
UGGGGAAUAUUGCGCAAUGGGCGAAAGCCUGACGCAGCGACGCCGCGUGAGGGAUGACGGCCUUCGGGUUGUAAACCUCUUUCAGCUCUGACGAAGCGCAAGUGACGGUAGGAGCAGAAGAAGCACCGGCCAACUACGUGCCAGCAGCCGCGGUAAUACGUAGGGUGCAAGCGUUGUCCGGAAUUAUUGGGCGUAAAGAGCUCGUAGGCGGUCUGUCGCGUCGAAUGUGAAAAUCCGAGGCUCAACCUCGGACCUGCAUUCGAUACGGGCAGACUAGAGUUCGGUAGGGGAGUCUGGAAUUCCUGGUGUAGCGGUGAAAUGCGCAGAUAUCAGGAGGAACACCGGUGGCGAAGGCGGGACUCUGGGCCGAUACUGACGCUGAGGAGCGAAAGCGUGGGGAGCAAACA